AACGAACGCUGGCGGCGUGGAUUAGGCAUGCAAGUCGAACGAGAAUUUUUGAGGACAAUCCUUCGGGAGAGAACUUGAAAAGGACAGUGGCGAACGGGUGAGUAACGCGUGGGCAAUCUGCCCAGAAGUUGGGGAUAGCCUCGAGAAAUCGAGGGUAAUACCGAAUGUGAUCGUCUCUCGCAUGGGAGAUUGUUUAGAGGUGGGGAUCUUCGGACCUGCCGCUUCUGGAUGUGCCCGCGUCCCAUCAGCUUGUUGGUAAGGUAAUGGCUUACCAAGGCUAAGACGGGUAGCUGGUCUGAGAGGAUGGUCAGCCACACUGGGACUGAGACACUGCCCAG
rnacentral:rRNA from 1 species